rnacentral:lncRNA from 1 species
CAUUUCUAUUUGAUAGUUGUAUAAGAUUAAUAUUAUCUUCUUUGCCUUUGCAAUUCUCCCAUUGCACUAGGAAGCUUUCAUCUUGAGUUUACAGGUAAUUUUUUCUUCCUUGUAUAUUUUGAUUGGUUGUCAAUUUUAAUAUUGUUAACUUUGGGCAUUUUGAUUUGUUGCUUUUCAGUUUAGCUUUCAUCUUGGAUCGGUCUUUGUUCAUGGUUGAUUUUACUAGACUGAAAGAGGGAAAGAUUCUUACUAAAAUUAUUUUGAUGCCUUUACCAUCCGUCUGCAUUUGGCUGCUAGAAAUAAUAAUUAUAAGAUGAUUGGCUUUAAUUCUACCUCUUUUACUAGGCCUAGUCUUUUUAGUGCUUGC